AUUGAACGCUGGCGGCAUGCCUUACACAUGCAAGUCGAACGGCAGCACGGGUGCUUGCACCUGGUGGCGAGUGGCGAACGGGUGAGUAAUACAUCGGAACAUGUCCUGUAGUGGGGGAUAGCCCGGCGAAAGCCGGAUUAAUACCGCAUACGAUCCACGGAUGAAAGCGGGGGACCUUCGGGCCUCGCGCUAUAGGGUUGGCCGAUGGCUGAUUAGCUAGUUGGUGGGGUAAAGGCCUACCAAGGCGACGAUCAGUAGCUGGUCUGAGAGGACGACCAGCCACACUGGGACUGAGACACGGCCCAGACUCCUACGGGAGGCAGCAGUGGGGGAUUUUGGACAAUGGGCGAAAGCCUGAUCCAGCAAUGCCGCGUGUGUGAAGAAGGCCUUCGGGUUGUAAAGCACUUUUGUCCGGAAAGAAAUCCUUGACUCUAAUACAGUCGGGGGAUGACGGUACCGGAAGAAUAAGCACCGGCUAACUACGUG
rnacentral:rRNA from 1 species